rnacentral:sRNA from 1 species
AAAUCGAGAUUGCAAAAAAGAUAUAGCAUAGUCAUAUAUUUUAAUCUAAGUGGACUUGCACUGUUUCACAUUGCUUUUAUUUUACUUUUCCUCCUCUUAAAAUAUUAUUGGUUGCGCUGUAAGAAAUUUUUAAAGACAUUAAAAAAGUUACAGCCCCAAAAUUGAAACAAUCAUGCUUUAGCUUUCCAAUUUUUUCUCAUAGCACAAAUAAUAUUUUU